ACUGCAUUCAUUUUGCCCUGAAACUUCUUGAUGUGGAUGAAGACAAGAUUCAGCUGAUCAUUGAGGAGAUAAAAGAAAUAUUAGCAGAAUUGUUGUAAAUGAAAGCUGCUCGGAAACUGAAGCUGCUGGAGACAGAAGAAAUGCGACUGAUGAAAAUUAUUUUUCUUUUUUUUCUUUUAUUUCUCACUGUGGUUAUUAGAGAUUAAAUCAAAUCUACAUCAUUAAAUUCAUUUCUGAUACAGAAUU